UACGAAGGGGGCUAGCGUUGCUCGGAAUCACUGGGCGUAAAGGGUGCGUAGGCGGGUCUUUAAGUCAGGGGUGAAAUCCUGGAGCUCAACUCCAGAACUGCCUUUGAUACUGAAGAUCUUGAGUUCGGGAGAGGUGAGUGGAACUGCGAGUGUAGAGGUGAAAUUCGUAGAUAUUCGCAAGAACACCCGUGGCUAAGGCGGCUCUCUAGUACGGUACUGACGCUGAGACGCGAAAGCGUGGGGAGCGAACAGG
rnacentral:rRNA from 1 species